rnacentral:rRNA from 1 species
GUCUAGAACGACUCUCGGCAACGGAUAUCUCGGCUCUUGCAUCGAUGAAGAACGUAGCGAAAUGCGAUACUUGGUGUGAAUUGCAGAAUCCCGUGAACCAUCGAGUCUUUGAACGCAAGUUGCGCCCAAAGCCAUUAGGCUAAGGGCACGCCUGCCUGGGUGUCACAAA